rnacentral:rRNA from 1 species
UUUGAUCCUGGCUCAGAAUGAACGUUGGCGGCGUGGAUUAGGCAUGCAAGUCGUGCGAGAAGUGUUUUUUGCUUGCAUUGAACMCGGACAGCGGCGAAAGGGAGAGUAACGUGUGGUUACAUGCCCAAGGGUCCAGGAUAGCGUUGGGAAACUGGCGGUAAUACUGGAUGAUAUCUAAGGAUCAAAGGUGUGAUUCCGCCCUUGGAUUGGACCGCAUACUAUUAGCUUGUUGGUGAGGUAAUGGCUCACCAAGGCUGCGAUGGUUACCGGGUGUGAGAGCAUGGCCCGGCUCACUGGGACUGAGACACUGCCCAGACACCUACGGGUGGCUGCAGUCGAGAAUCUUCGGCAAUGGACGAAAGUCUGACCGAGCGACGCCGCGUGCGGGAUGAAGGCCCUCGGGUUGUAAACCGCUGUCAGUUUGGAGGAAGGGACUGUGAAGAGCAGUUCUUGACCGAUAUUCAGAGGAAGGACGGGCUAAGUUCGUGCCAGCAGCCGCGGUAAUAAGGG